AACAAGGUUUCCGUAGGUGAACCUGCGGAGGGAUCAUUACCGAGCUCAUGCCCUACCGGGUAGAUCUCCCACCCUGUGUUAUUAUUACCUUUGUUGCUUUGGCGGGCCGCCGCGCUCCGGCCUGGCUACCGGCUCCGGCUGGUAAGCGCCCGCCAGAGGACCCCAAACCCUGAAUGUUAGUGUCGUCUGAGUACUAUAUAAUAGUUAAAACUUUCAACAACGGAUCUCUUGGUUCUGGCAUCGAUGAAGAACGCAGCGAAAUGCGAUAAGUAAUGUGAAUUGCAGAAUUCAGUGAAUCAUCGAAUCUUUGAACGCACAUUGCGCCCCUUGGUAUUCCGAGGGGCAUGCCUGUUCGAGCGUCAUUACAACCCUCAAGCAAUGCUUGGUGUUGGGCCGCGCCGCUAACCCGGCGGGCCCUAAAACCAGUGGCGGUGCCGUCGGGCUCUGAGCGUAGUAAUUCUUCUCGCUAUAGAGCCCCGGCGGAUGCUAGCCAGCAACCCCCAAUUUUCUAUGGUUGACCUCGGAUCAGGUAGGGAUACCCGCUGAACUUAAGCAUAUCAAUAAGCGGA
rnacentral:rRNA from 1 species